rnacentral:misc_RNA from 1 species
CUAAAAGAAUAGGACAAUGACUAAUACAAAUUCAGUUUUUCCACAUUAUAAAAAGUGAAACACACAUCAAUGUGAAUAAAGAUAUACAUGCUCAGGAAGCACAUAAUAAUUUUCCCUUUGAAUAAAGAAUGUUCUCGUUCUAUCAACAAUGCGGUCAAAAAGAAGAGUAAAAUUCUAAGAUUCACUUGUCAAGAUAAAGUCCUUUCCAAAUGGAUAAAUGGACGAAUCUCUCAGAACUGUCAACACGUGAUGCGCUAUUCGAAGAUACAGAGCAGGGAGCCAAAAGACUAUAUUGCACUCCCAACUUCAAUGAAUACAAUGCGAUAACCAAGGUCCAUUGUCACCAACAGAUAUACCGCCCUCAAUUUCCAUUUGAGGACUCAUGUACCAUGGAUUGGAAGAGUAAAAAUAUUCAAUCCAACAAUGCGAAAUAUACACAAACAACUAAAGGACAAUUUUGUCAUUCACUGCAUGCUAUUGUUCAAUUUCUCAAAUUUCUGUGCAAUUGCACGAUGAUUGUUGCUCUCAUACACUUCAAUGAGUGAAUGAAUUGCCUUGGAUAUCACCUGUUUCUUUUGGCUUCCAGUCUCAGGGCUACUAGUCUCCCCCAGCGUAGAGCAUAAACCCUUUAACCAAUCCUCCAGAAAUGAGGCUUUCUUCACAAGGAAAUCUUUCAAAGGUUGGUGAUCAGUGUUUGAAGCAAAGCUAAGCACAUGCAACAUGGUUGAUGUUAUCUGCUUAUCAAGUGCAACCCUGUAUUUGAAACUAGAUGGCGCAUAUAUUUGGUCUGAAGCUAGAUUUUCAAUUAUAUGCUCCAGACCUUGGACAACAUCUGAGAAGGAUAUACCAUAGCCAUGCACCGAAGCUGGCACAGCCAACGCAGCAGCAGCUUGUAUCCUGAUCUUAAAGUUUGAAGAAUCACGUAGCAGUAAUAGAAGAACACUAAAAACAGAUGGAGCCCAAUCCAUAUCUUGCAGUCUUAAUGUCUCAUUUAGAAAUAGAUUGCUCAGUGCAUGACAAACAUUCCAUUGGACCUUAACAUUCCCAGUCAUAACACAAGAAAGGAAUGCUUGAACCAUUCUCUCCAGCAAAAGUAGAUCUCCUGAUGAAGAAGAUUUUGAUUUGCAUCCUAGACCACAAUGCAGAUUACUGCUUGCUGGCAACACCCUAAUGUUGUUUGAUAAGUCCAGAGAAUCCGUAGGCUUACCAUGUUUGCCACCAGUGUAUCUGAUAAACCUGGAAAGGUUUCCAAGAGCUCUCACAGCAUUGGAUUUGAUCUUGUCACCAUCUUUCGUUAGACGCAAAGCACAAUCAGCUAAGAAUUCCAUUAAUCGAGUGUUUGCAUUUGAAUCUGACAACUUGUCUAAAGGAAAAUCAUUGAUACAGUGACGUAGAGAAUCACAAAUGUUUGCAAAAGCCCAUGAAGAUGUUAUUCGCACCAUAGCCAAGGGAUCAUGAGUGUUGAUCUCAAUCGCGUGGAUAAACUUGGCAAGAAUCUCUGCGCUGUGAGAUAUUUGUGGAAAACAAGAGAUGACACCAAUAGCUCGACAAGCAGCUGACCUAACUGAAGGAACCUCAUCAUCUACAGCAGCAUUGAUCAAAGAAGAAACAACAAACUCCUGUUUCUCCUUUGAGAGAGAGAUGAAUACAGAAGAAGUAAUGCCCGCGAAACAAGUCAGAGAUGCAGUUCUCACCAUGGCAGAAGAAUGCCACAUUAUCAGAGGUAUGUGAUUCUUUAUUGUUAUAGACCAAUGCUCAAUUCCCAACUCAAAUUUCUUUGGUUCUCCAUUGGUAUCUUCUGCACUUUCUGGUUCAUAUGAUGGUGCUGAUGAUACUUUCUUCAUCCUUAUGCAAUCAGAUACAAAUGAGGUAUCCAAUAAUUUAUCAUCCAAAAGAUCUUCAGUUCCUUUAAAUCCAGAUAUUGCACGAAGACACUCAUCCAAAACCUUUACAGCAGCAGUCUUGACUUUUUCCCCAUUAAACCCAACAUUUUCUCCCAUAUGUCCCUUCCAUGCCCUUACAGGAACUUCUGGAGUAGCAAAUUUCACAAUUUUGGAGAAUAUGAUGGAAAUUUGUUCCCAGCAUGCAAAUGCUAUGUUUGGGUAAUUGUGUAUAACAGCUCUAAGGGCCUGCAACACAUAAUUAGUGAUGCAAUUGAUAGAGAACAACAAGAGACUAGUUAGGAUGUGAUUUUUUGGGAUUACUUGCAUAUCCAAACUGUAUAUUUCUUAAAUGAGAUAUUCAGUAUUAAUUAGGAUUUUGUUAAGAAAUUUAACAUCAGUAUUAAUUAGGAUAUUUUGACAUUAGGUUUCAAUUUAUAUAUUCCCUAUUUUGUGGUGGCCUACUGCCUCUAAGUCAGCACCCUACUAUGAUAUUCAGACAGUCUGGGAUGAAUUGAAUCAAGAGUUCAGUUUUCAGUUUUCCCUUUUCUCAUGCUUUCUCUUCUAGUCUGUUAUUUUUGUUCUAAGUUCUCUUCUUGGUUCUUCACAAUCUUUAUUUUAUUCUACAUCAGUAAUAAUUCUUAAACAGCAACAUACAACUAAAUUAGGAGUUAAAUACUUGGGAAGCAUGUGCAUAGCCAAGAUUAACAAAAUCAAAAUCACUCAGAAAUGGUUUCAACUCCUUCUGCAAAUACUGCAGUUUAUCAUGAACUUGAUUUUCAGCUUCAGAAACAGGUUACAUUUCCUCUUUCAAUUUUAUAGACUGGAGAGCCUUUGAUUACAAAGCCAUUUGAUCAAGGCAUCAAGCACAAUAUCAGUUGCUUGUUCAAAAAUGGUUGAAAAAACAAAACCAUAUAUGUAUCCAAAGAACAAAAAACAUCAGAGCACACCAUGAGGGAAACCAUAAGCUCAUGCAGAAUGCUACUGAUAAAAUAAAUUCAGUGGCAUGUAUCAAAUGAGUAAAUUUCACUCGUUGUCCUUGAACUUAGAGCAUUGUUACAUUGUCAUCCAAAAAUUUCAAAUUGUAACGUAAAACCCCAAUGACUUCAAUUUAAACCUUUUCUAAAGGUUUCUGGUAAUGAUCUGACAUGCCAUGCUCCAAAGAAAAAAAAUAUAUUUUUUCUUUCCUCUUCAAUCCAUUGUCUCUUUCAUUCUUGUUUCUCUCUCAUUCUUGUUCCUCUAGUUUCUCUCGGCUCAAUCCUUAAAGUAGAUGGGGGAUGUGAGGAGUAUGUUAGUCAUAGGAUUAAAGCC